rnacentral:rRNA from 1 species
UACGUAGGGGCCGAGCGUUGUCCGGAAUUACUGGGCGUGAAGCGCGCGCAGGCGGCUGUCCGCGCCCGGCGUGAAAGCCCCCGGCUCAACCGGGGAGAGUCGUCGGGGACGGGACAGCUUGAGGGCGGGAGGGGUUGGUGGAAUUCCCGGUGUAGUGGUGAAAUGCGUAGAGAUCGGGAGGAACACCUGUGGCGAAGGCGGCCAACUGGCCCGACCCUGACGCUGAGGCGCGAAAGCUAGGGUAGCAAACGGG